UUUUCUCUCUCUCCUCUGCUUAAUACAGUUUUACGGACACUGAACGUAGGAACGGGCGGUGGGGUGGCGGGAUCUGCACUUCCCCGGCAAAUACUUUAAAACGCAUAAAAAUUCCAACACGUCGUAACCUCAGUGCUUUUAACAGCUUCUCUCUGGCUCUAUAGUCGUGGAUGGGCGGCGGGGCUUAACUUAUCCUCAAACCAGAGAACGGAGAACAGAGAACCUGAAACCGAACCCCCCGCACCAGGAGUCAGCAAUCAACUGCACUACAUCCCUUGCCCCACCACUGAGAGCCUGAGAGAGAGCUCCUCUCGCUUUGUUGCAAGUCAUGCACAUCAAGUGGAGUUGCAACAACAACUUGCUUCGGUUUGUUGUCGGCGGUGGCUGCAGUGGCGAUGGUGGCGGUUGUGAUGCUGCUGUCUGACGUUGGCGGUUCGCCCCACGUCUGUUCCGCUGCAGUUAACCUGCAAAGUAGCGCAAUUUGUUGAUAGCAGCGAUGGCGGAUGAGGUGGCACAAGAUGCAUGUGGAAAAUGGAAAAUGUGGCGCAUCCUAAACACGUUUUGCAUGAAUAAUAAACGUAAUUGUGUCGCCGUUGCAAAUGAUGUUGGAAUUAAAUUUUAAAUUGAAUUGCUCCAAGGGGCGCCAUGAAUAUCCAACGACAUAAAGCCUUGAAUAUACAUAGAUUUCAUUAUA